AAGCACCAUUGUUGCUAUGGUAACUGCCGCGGCGGUAAAGCUAACAGCAGCUUUUAACCAACAGUUUCUAAGAUGGCGUCUAAAACCCUCGACCCUUUAUCGGUUGAGGAACCUCCGAGAGGAGGAGGAGAGGAGGAGAGGAGAGGAGGAGGAGAGGAGGAGAGGACGGAGGAAGAGGAGAGAGGAACCGGAGCAGAGUGGAACCGGCUGACGAAGGUUCCAGUGAAAGUGUUACGAGGUCACAGUGAGGCUGUUACCACCGCUCAGCUCUGCUUCAAUGACCGCCUCCUCCUCAGCUGCUCCUCAGAUCACUCCGCCAUCCUCUGGGAUGUGGACAGCUGCAGUCCUCUGAGGGUGUUUGAUGGCGUUCACAGUGAAACCGUCACAGAGUGCGCCGUGAUCCCCAACAGCAACAGGAUGGUGACGGUCUCCUGGGAUAAGACGAUGGCGUCCUCCGACCUGGAGACGGGACAGACUCUGGUAACUGAACUGAUCACAUAA
rnacentral:lncRNA from 15 species